rnacentral:lncRNA from 1 species
AAAAUUGUAAGAAGAGUUACUUUUUUGGUUUCUGCAAAUAUUGAUUCUUUUUCUUUCUUUUUUGGUGUUUGGUUGAAAACAAUCUUUGCAAAACAUUUUUUUUCCUAAAACAAGUAUUUCAAAGCGUUAUAAGGCCAACCUUUUCUCUUUAUUUUAUUGAUUAAAUUCCCAUCAUGUUAAAUUUUACCCUCCUCAAUGUCCCAAAUACGGUGAAAAAAAUCUCAAUUGUGAAAGUGUCUUUGCUCUUAUGUGUAUGCAUUUAUCUUUGUGUCUAUUGAUAAUAGUGCAUUUUCUUUCCUCCAGAGAGUUCCAUUUCUCCAUCUUGUGCUAUUGUAUCUUAUGUUUGUGCCACCAUGGGCUAAUGAAAAGCUCGAAGUACUGCUGGGCUUCAAACGAUGGAAAGAAAGAAAGAUAUCAGUUGUAAAAUUGCAAAAAGUUUGAAAUUUGGUUGCACAUUUGUUUAUUUUGUUUUCUCAUCUCCUGAAUAGUGAAUAUAAUUAAAAAUUACCUAUCCUACAUGUCUAUCCGUGUUGGUGCAGGACAGUUGAAAGUACUGAACUUCCUUCAUUGCAUGCAUGGUCAUAGUGUGUACUUGCAUUUUUUUAAAAAUAAAUAAAUAUAAUUUACCCAGUCUUUUUCAUAUCUUCCUUAUAGCUGACCCCAAGUUAUUUGGGUUCAAAUGUAGUUAAUGAUUGAUGUCAUAUCCGCCAACAUGCAAAAGAGCUAACAUAAAUAUCGGCCUGCAGGCACUAUUGGCGACCUUCUGUUUAUUUGUUGGAUGAGAAGAUCUAGAUCACAAUAAAAUCAUGACAGAGAAUACUGAAAUUGAUGACCGCGUGGAUCUUGAUGACGAAAAUUACUCUGAGGAAGAUGAAGAUCCAGAAUUGAUAGAAGAUGACGGAGCUGGAGAAGACGGCGAUGAAAACGGUGAAGAGCAAUCAUAUGAUUCCGGAGGUGGGGAUAGUGGGAGAGCAGAGUCUCCAGAAGCAGAUCGAGGAAGAUGAAGAUCCAGAACUGAUAGAAGAUGACGGAGCUGGAGAAGACGGCGAUGAAAACGGUGAAGAGCAAUCAUAUGAUUCCGGAGGUGGGGAUAGUGGGAGAGCAGAGUCUCCAGAAGCAGAUAUGCGUGACGUUCCGGAGCCUGCUACUGAUGAAGAAAAGCCUAGUGCUUCUCUUACUGAAGAAGACAAAAAAGAGCACGCUGAACUUCUUGCUCUCCCUCCGCACGGGUCUGAGGUUUUCAUUGGUGGGAUUCCUCGAGAUGUUUCUGAUGAAGACUUGAGGGAUCUCUGCGAACCAUUCGGCGAAAUACAUGAGGUCAGUUCUGAUUGAUAGAGCUGGAAGUAAUCUGAACGCUACGCCAAACAGGCAUAUGUUUUUGACAGACUUAAAUGUCUUUGCUUUUCCUUAAUUUGUGUAAUCGUGUCCUAUCUUUGCAGGUCAGGAUCAUGAGAAAUAAGGAUACUGGUGAAAGCAAGGGCUUUGCCUUUGUAGCCUUCACAACAAAAGAUGAGGCACAAAAGGCUAUUGAAGAAUUACAUAGCAAAGAAUUCAAGGUGAUUUCUGCAUUUCUGCACUUGGCUUCAUUCGUUUUAGAUUUUUCAUUAACUAUCGUCUCUUUUAGUGAGUGCAUGAUUUGGUAGUUUCUUCAAAUUUGGCUUCAUUCAUUUUAGAUUUUUCAUUAACUGUAUCGUCUCUUUUAGUGAGUGCAUGAUUUGGUAGUUUCUUUGUUUGUUCUGUGUUUAUUAUCAACCCAGGGAAAAACCAUAAGGUGUUCACUGUCAGAAACUAAAUACAGAUUGUUCAUUGGUAAUGUACCAAAGAGCUGGUCUGAUGAUGACUUCAGAAAAGUCAUUGAAGGGACUGGCCCUGGUGCAGAAACAAUAGAACUCAUAAAGGUGUGGUUUUAUGUUUCAAACAUUCUAUAAAUUGUUCUGACUCUGUCAUUGGCAACUUAUGGACAAUUUGUAAACUUCUAAUAUUUGAUUGAAGGAUCCUCAAAACCCAGCACGUAAUAGGGGUUUUGCUUUCAUUGAAUAUUACAAUAAUGCCUGUGCGGAUUACUCGCGGAAAAAAAUGGCAAGUGCAAACUUUAAGCUGGAGGGAAAUUCGCCAACUGUCACCUGGGCUGAUCCAAAGAUUACACCUGAUCAUUCUGCUGCCGCUGCUCAGGUAUCAAACCUUAUAUCAUAAUUGAGUAUGAGCUUCUAGGAGAUCUUAAGCGAGUUCCAUUUGAUAUGUUUUGUGAUCUUUUGUUGUUUCUCUUAGAUUCUAAUGUUUCCUGCUUGAUCUUUAUUGUUACUUUGCAGCUUGCACCUUUACCAAAUGAUCUCCCUUAUGCUUUUCCCUUUUGUGGGUCUAUGAGUUUUUCUCUCCAAUUGUUAUCCUGUUGGCUUGAAUACAGUACGUUACGGGUUCUGAUCCACCCGAUGUAUUCCUGAUUAAACUUGUUUUCUUCUUUCUUUGUUUACUGCUUGUAGGUCUGUCUAGCUGUGGGAAGGGGGAUUGGAUGGUUCUUGUAAUGUAUCUAUUAAACUUCUCAACUUGAUGUUAUCAUUUAUUGGGGCUGCUUUUGAGUUAAGAGCCAGGAACUGCGCUGAUACCUUAAACUUUUUAGUUCUCUAGGCGUAUUGAAACAAUGAGCUUGGGGCAGAGUUGUGGUGGAUAGUUUCACUGCUGAAAUUAUACUGACUGUAAUUCUGUUGGGACCAACUAAGGCUCGUAAACCUAGUGUCCCUGCUGAAGGUACUCUGAGUUGAUUCUGGAAUAGUCGUGGUAGUUUGUGCGAGAUUGCAUGUACACUACCAUUAUCGCCAAAAAGAAGAAAAAGGAUUAGUGAUAGCGAACUAAGUCACUUAUCGAUAUGAUGUUAGAUUUUGUGAUGUAUUGUUCGAUCCAUGGUAUCAAUGGACUGAUUGGAGAUUCGCCUCUGUGAAACAGUGAAACCUUUUCCCUUAACAUCCUUCUGCUAGUUUGAACAUUGAUUAUAUAUUUUUCGUUGUCUUUUCCAGGUUAAAGCACUUUAUGUGAAAAGCAUUCCAGAAAACACAUCUACUGAACAGUUGAAGGAAAUUUUCCAACGCCAUGGUGAUGUUACCAAAGUAGUUAUGCCGCCAGCCAAAAGUGGUGGCAAACGAGACUUUGGAUUUGUCCAUUAUGCAGAAAGGUCAAGUGCACUGAAGGCUGUUAAAGAUGGUGAAACAUAUGAAGUUAAUGGUAAUGCUUCUGGACUCAUGAAUACAAGUGGAACACAUACAUUGCAUAAAGGGAACUCUCAGGAUCUACAUCUGAGUGUUCCGUCGGCCCCUCCUUCAAAUCACUCCCCCCUCACUGGAAAAAGGAAAGAAACGAAAAGAAAAAUAAAUCAGGAGAAUAGAGGUAGGAAGUGUGAAGGGGGUGUGUUUUGGGGGGAGGAGAGAGAUCCUUAAAUUUAGUAAUUUUGAUUUUAAAUCUCUAGAAUUGUCAGCGGGUCCAUAUCUAAUUCUUUUUAUUCUUGCAGCUAGGGUAAAAAGUCAUUAUUAUGCCUUUGAAGGGGUUAUCUGGGACCCAUAAAGACCCAACACCCCCCCCCCCCCCCCCCCNNNNNNNNNNNNNNNNNNNNNNNNNNNNNNNNNNNNNNNNNNNNNNNNNNNNNNNNNNNNNNNNNNNNNNNNNNNNNNNNNNNNNNNNNNNNNNNNNNNNNNNNCCCCCCCCCCCACACACACACACAAAAAAACCAAAAAGAAAGGGAAGAAGCAAAGAAAAUGGGAAAAUUGUGGUUUGUACAUUCUCAAAGCAUGCCUAAAGUGAAAUAAAUCACAAUAAGUAUGAAUGUGCUUGAGAUAUGGUUUUUUUCUUCAAAAAUCCUUUAUUGAACUGAACGACAACAACAAACCUAGUGUAAUCCCACAAGGUGGGGUCUGGGGAAUGUAUAGUAUAGCAGACCAUAUCCCUACCUUUAUUGAUCUGAGAAUUCUCAUUUGUAUAUGAGUUCAAGGAUGAGUUUAGGAGCUUGUAGCACCAGCCGAGACCUUGUGUUGAACAAUUCUUAGUUUGUUUUGGUAUUUACCUAGGAUUUACUCAGCCAUACUUGGAAAAUUUAAUAAUGAAACUCUUAUCUACAUGACAUGUUCUAUUAUGUCAUACUGUAGAAAGAUUUGUCUUGAAUUUAGGAGGAUAUCAUAAAGAGAUUACAAGGAAGAAAUGCAGAAAAGCGUUGUCAGGAGUGUGAUGCCUAUUUUGUUUUUGAAUCAUAGCAAACUGACCGAUGGUUGAAACAUUUGUAGAUAUAGCCCAUAUUUAGAUCAACUUUCGUCCUGUUUAAUUAUUCCAUGACUUUGAGACAAUAAUUUCAGAGUUUAAACUGUACUAUGCUAAGGUCAACUUAAUUCAGCUGUCAGAAAUCUGACGCAUUUGUUUUUAUCAAAGCAAGCUGAUCAUCUGGAUAUGGGCCAUUUUUGUAUCAGCUCUCAUCCUCUGUAAUUUCUCUUUUCAAGAUUUUGAAACAAGUAUUACGGUUUGGAAUGAACCAAAAAUAAGAUCAGCUUAGUCCAUUGUGAUUGAGAUGCCCGUUUUCCCCCAUAUGACCCUGGAGUGAAAGCAAUCUAUAUUCAACCCCCUUUUUAUCAACUCUCACCCCUCUAAAUGUUUUCUUUCUAUAUGUUGAAACAAUAAUUUUCAAAUAUUGGACUGUAUCAUGCUAUGAUCGACCCAAUCCCAUUUUGAUGAUGCCUAUUUUGUUUUGAAUCAAAGCGAUCAAAUAUGGGACUGUAUCAAGCUAUGAUCUACCCAAUCCCAUUUUGAUGAUGCCUAUUUUGUUUUUGAAUCAAAGGAACUGACCUUGAGGUGAAAGUUCUAGAUAUGUUCCAGUUUUGAAUCAACUCUCUUCCGUGUAUGCCCUCCCUUUUUCCCUUUCAAGAUUGUGAAUCAAGUUUCAUAGAUUGGGCUGUACUGAAACUAAAGAUCAACUUAGUUCAGGUGUUAGAAGUGUGACGUGUGUUUUUUGCUUUUAGUUAAGCGUAAAACUGAUUCAUCUAUCAUACAAAUACUUUGUCAAAGAUCAGUUUAGUUCAACUGCAGUCAAGUAGGACCCUUAAUUAGAUUAAAGUAAUAUGUGUCAUAUAGUGAAAAGGAUUUGAUAUAUUGGAAGGGAUACAGAAGAUUUAUAUGGUUGUCAUGAUUAUGUGGUGGUUGCCUGUGAUAUGUCCCUCUCUUUUAGACAAAAAUUCAUACUACAAGACAAUCUUCCAACAAAAGAAUCUUUUUUUGGUGGAGAAGUAAAAAGAAUUUUAUUGAUGAUAACCUGCAAAUAGAGAAUGGGUGCUGUAGGGACAACAGAAUCGAUGUCUCAUAUUUUUUUAUUUUUUGCCUUUUUUGAGUUUGAAACUUCCAAGAAGUUCGUCCUCUGUUUUGCCGAGCUAGAACUGGAUAUGAAUACUGUCCUAUGGCCUCCUCCUUCCCACUUGUUGGGAUCAAGCUGAGUUUUUUUUUUUUUUUUUUUUUUUUUUUUUGAAAAUUCCGUAAUUCGAAGGCGUCUCUAGGGGAAACUAAUUUUCAAUUUUUUGUUUUUAUUAAAUUUCAUGGACAAACAUAUUUGAAAAAGAAGAAGAAGACGACGACAUUAUGGACAAAUGGGGCCGAAGUACUAUUAGGGUGAGAUUUGUAAGCUUCACUAUUUAAGUACGGGAUUUAAUUAAUUUUGUUUUUAAAGGUUACCGGGUUUAAGUGUAACUAUAUGAUGCAAUGCCAAACUCUAUUAUGUACGAUUAUUUUUCACUAUCAUAUUCUAAAUCACUUUUUUUUUUUUUUUUUUUUUUUUUUUGUUGUUGUUGUUGUUGUUGUUGUAUGGCCUCCUCCUGGGGUUUUCUGCUUUAUCAAUUUAUACUUCUCUCCUUACAGACAAGUAGCCUUUGCGGCGCUGGUUAGGUUAUUCUGAUUUAUCUCAUCCAACCUGAGAAAAAGGCGCUUUACUCAAUUUCUUUCCGAGAAGCUAUCCUAAAUGAAAGAUGAUUCAACCUACGAACUUUUGUUUUACAAAGAUCACUUUUAACCUUGUGAAAAAUAAUUGAACCUCCCAUUACAUUUAUGCUUUACUAGAUGUUCCAGGUAGUUAUCUUUAUUUGUUAUGCAAAACUCAUUUUUAUACUUAUAAGUACAAAUGCUUUUAUUUAGUACAAGGAAUCAGAGACGGUGAGACCAAUCAUUAGUUCAUUGGGCACCCUCCAUUUACCGUCAACUUAUCAUCUUCAAUAUUUGUUUGUUUUAGAAAAGGAAAAACCAAUUACCAUGAUAUUGAUGCUUUAUUGCAUUUUUAUUGAAAAUUGCUAAAGACAGGCGAAACUGCUACUUUGGAAUAUGUCAAUAUUUUUCCCGAGUUUUUGUUAGCACCACAUCGUUGUAUAUUAAUAGGCAAAUGGGAGAAAAAACUAAAAUUGUAAGAAACUCUACAUCCUAUCACUUUUACCUCAAUUUAUUCUUUGCUGAGUUUGAACAGCUGAAGCAAUAACACUCCAACAUCAUUGAAAUACUAUAGCAAUAGUCAUUCCACAAUUGAGUUUAAUUUCAUUGAGCUACCAGUUUGUUCAUUUUGAAGGCAAGUUAUAUAGUGCUUUAGUAUUUCAAAUUACUUCAGGCCUGUUUACGCAUGAAUCAAUAUUUUGAUAUUGCAAAUUCUAGACUUCAAUAUUUGCAAAAAUAAUUGAGAAUGAGUAUUUGCAAAUACUUCUU